rnacentral:lncRNA from 1 species
GACAUCAGGGUAAGUCUUUUAUAAGAAACAUCUUGGGAAUCUCAGACAAAACUACAAAAGAGCGUGUCAGAAGAGCCAGUGCAUUGGCUAAGAAUAUAGUCAAUAGUUUAUCUACAUCAAUAAAUGGAAACCUCCUUUGAGAAGUUGCUAUAUAUCAUUUAAUAUGUAAAGCCACUGUAGCAGUUGCAGGCUGUCUGCAGUUCAUCUCAUAAACUUUGCUUUGCAGAGGAAUUUUUUAAUUUCUGUCUGUUCAUGCCGUGGGUAGUACUUUUUUUCUUCCACCUGUAAGUAAGUACUUUCAGCUUAUCUCAUAUUCUGCCUUUGCAAACUUAAGCUUCCGUGCCCAGUAAGAUGUGGGUGAGGAUCUCAUCUGCGUUUACUGUCCCAGCUCUGCACCGUGGUCCAUCCAGGUCACCUGCACUGCAGAGAGCUGCCCAGGAGAACUUCAAGGCAGUGCCCGUGCCACUUCUCCUGGUUGCCACCUUGAGCUCCGGUUCUUACAAAGGCAAUUAAACAGCUGGAGACCUGUGGUGAGUAGCGCCUCUAGAGUAUAACGUUAUUUUUUUCGUUCAAAAUAGAUCUGAGGCAAAAAGCAAAUCAUACCUGAAGGCUGAGGAAAAAUAUUGUGGUUUGAUUGUUUCUGGACUGAGGAGCUGAGGGCUGUGCCUGUGGCUUUAGCAUGUGGCUAUGGGCCUUCUGGCAUAUCAUGCAAAGUUUCUGGCAAAGGCUGCUUGUUGGUAUAGCCUCGUUCAUGUCAGAAUCACUUUGCCACUGAAAUAAGCAGAGUUAGAGACUCCAUCCCUCUCUCUGUGCUGUGGAAAUACUUCAUUUUUUGGCAAGCAGAGCUGCUUGCCAAUAUUUAGCCCUCAGCAAUUUUUUAUGAUUGAGUUAUAAAACCUGGAAAUAAGAGCUUAUAAUGAAAAUGCCAACACCACAUUAAAAAUAGCAGGAGCAGUGGGCACGGCUGUAAUGAUGUUCUUUGCUUUGGUUUUAAUUCCUUCUCCAAACCAGCUCUGCUUCC